UACGUAGGGUGCGAGCGUUGUCCGGAAUUAUUGGGCGUAAAGAGCUUGUAGGCGGUUUGUCGCGUCUGCCGUGAAAAUCCGGGGCUCAACCCCGGACUUGCGGUGGGUACGGGCAGACUAGAGUGUGGUAGGGGAGACUGGAAUUCCUGGUGUAGCGGUGAAAUGCGCAGAUAUCAGGAGGAACACCGGUGGCGAAGGCGGGUCUCUGGGCCGAUACUGACGCUGAGGAGUGAAAGCGUGGGGAGCGAACAGG
rnacentral:rRNA from 1 species